rnacentral:pre_miRNA from 1 species
UGAUGAUGAUGAUUACAAUGAUGAUGAUGAGUACAUGAUGAUGAUGAUUACAUUACAAUCAUCAUCAUGUACUCAUCAUCAUCAUUGUAAUCAUCA